UUUAAAAACGGUUGGCUUCCUGCGAGUCAGGGAGCCACUGCACACCAAACAGAACGUGCUGGACCUUCAGCCCUGUUUGGUAUGCAGAGUCACAGACGCACAGAACAACUGGAAUCGCAUGAACCCCAUCCUCAUUAACAAGCUGCAGCGCAAACUGGGCUACACUUUUACUC
rfam:Plautia stali symbiont DNA, complete genome.